UGAAUUUCGAAAGCCUUGUUGCAGCAGACAGAGGGCCCCUCUACACACUUGCACCGUCCUUCCUGGCUACUACGAUCCACCCUGCUUCAAGGUCUUAACUUCUCUCCAAGCACGGUGCUGCUGCAUGCAGGUAGCAGGAAGGUGAGGAGAGUUGAAGAGGUGGAGCAGGUCAGGGAACUGUGGCUGAUGAAUGAAUCUGUUCUGCAGGACAGUGUAAGGACGGUUACACUGAGCAUUUGACAUAGUUCGUAGAACUUCACAAUAGAAAUAGUGAACCUUAAUGUAUGCAAAUAAAAAUAAAUCAUUGAAGAAGUUGUGGAUACCAGGUUUGAAUGUAUAACAUGACAAAUACAUCUAAGUUUACUGAAAUAUAUAAAAUUAUCUCACUUAAAGGAGUGGAGGAAAUGGGUGCUGACCUAAGUAACUUUGGAAAAGCUUUUGUAGUAAUAGUGAAAAAAGGAGCUAUGAAUAAGCACGGCUAUCUUUGAUAACGUUCUUCCCCAGGAGGAUAAGGAUUCACUAUUCCAGAAACUUCUAUAUGCCUACUGGAAUUAAACAAUGUCAUGAAUGGGCAGCAGGUGGUGGGAGUUAGGCUUCUCUCUGCAGAGUGAGUGGUUCCUGAGGAGGGAAGAAGCCAGAGGACACACGCGGUGAUGGGUAAAUGUUGACAUAAGUAUGGCUGAUCUGGCUCAGCUUAAUAUAGGUAAAGAUGUUUACAUAAAAAUUAUUUAGAUAUAUGUAUGUAUAUGCGUUUGUAUAAAUACAUAUCUCACAGUUCUGUCAGUUACAAGGGCCAAGAAAUAACAACAAAAUACCUUAUCAGUGUUCCAUAAAGCUGCCAAAGUCAUCAAAACAAGGAAAUUCUGAGGAACUGUGUCAGCCAAGAGAAGCUAGGGAGAUAGGACUUCUAAAGAGAAUGUGAUAUCCCAGGUAAGAGAGUGGAACUGAAAAAGGCCACUAAGCAUAAACAGGGACUCUAAAUAAAUGAUUGACUGGAUUUAAUCAUCAUAUAUUAAUUUUAGUUUGUUAAUUGUGGCAAAUGUGUUAUAUUAAUAAGUAAUAAAGAAAGCUGAGUGCAGGGUACUGGAGGACUCUGUAAUAUCUUCACAAUAAUUCUGUAAAUACAAAGCUGUUUUAAAAUAAAAACUAUUUAAAAACAUCCUUGAAUGAAUGUUACUAUUAUCUGAAUGUUUGUGUCAUUCCCAAACUCAUAUAUUGAGACCUAAUCAUCAAGGUGUUACCAAAUGGUGUUACCAAAUGGGGCCUUGGGAGGUAAUGAGGUCAAGAGGGUAGAGCCCCAUGAAUAGAAUCAGUGCCCCUAUAGUAGGACUCCAGAGAGCUCCUUCUCCCCUUCCACCAUGUGGGGACACAGCUCACAGGAACCCCCAUGAAUAGGAUCAGUGGCCCCAGAGGAGGGACCCCAGAUAGCUCCUUCUCCCCUUCCACCAUGUGAAGACACAGCUCACAGGAGCCCCCAUAGGAGGGACCCCAGAGAGCUCCUUCUCCCCUUCCACUGCGUGAAGACACAGCCAGAAGGCACCGUCUAUGAACCUUCAGGGAGCAGGCCCUCACCAAACACCAAAUCUGCCUUGAUUUUGAACUUUUCAGCCUCCAGACUGCAGGAAAUAAAUGUCUGUUGUUUAUAAGCCACCCGGUACAUGAUACUCUAUUAUUACAGCAAGAACAGACUGAGAAAAAAACAACAACAUAAAAUGGUAGAUUGUUGGUAGAAGUGACCACAGCUGUGGGUAUUUGCUGGUUCGGGAUUUAGAGGCAUUGCUGAAUUCUGAGAUCGUUGGCACAGUUGUUAUAGUUAAGUUUGGUUCUUCCAUGUAGCUUAGCCAAGAUGCCUCAUAAAGCCCUAAUCCCACCAGAAGUUUUCCUUAUGGUCUCUCCCUGACGUUUCUCAACUUCAAUUAACACAACUUGUAAGUGGAUGACAGUAUUGGAAGUGAGGAUGGCAUUAACUUAAAGACAUAACCUUCAACAUUGUUGAAUUUUACUUACGUUUUUGAAAUAAUUUAUACUAUUGUUAUUUUAUGUGUUAUGCUUGUGUAUUUCGAGUUAGUUAUACUUACUGUUUAUUGUUUUCUACGGAAGAAAGAA
rnacentral:lncRNA from 1 species